AUUGAACGCUGGCGGCAGGCUUAACACAUGCAAGUCGAGCGAGCGGCGGACGGGUGAGUAAUGUCUGGGAAACUGCCUGAUGGAGGGGGAUAACUACUGGAAACGGUAGCUAAUACCGCAUACCAUCAGAUGUGCCCAGAUGGGAUGAGCUAGUAGGGGGGGUAAUGGCUCACCUAGGCGAAGAUCCCUAGCUGGUCUGAGAGGGUGACACGCCACACGGGAACUGGUACACGGUCAAGACUCCAACGGGAGGCAGCAGUGGGGAAUAUGGCACAAUGGGCGAAAGCCUGAUGAAGCCAUGCGGCGGGUGUGAAGAAGGCCUUCGGGUUGUAAAGCACGUUCAGCGAGGAGGCGUUACUCGCAGAAGAAGCACCGGCUAACUCCGUGCCAGCAGCCGCGGUAAUAC
rnacentral:rRNA from 1 species